UACGUAGGGGGCAAGCGUUAUCCGGAUUUACUGGGUGUAAAGGGAGCGUAGACGGCAGAGCAAGUCUGAAGUGAAAGCCCGCGGCCCAACUGCGGGACUGCUUUGGAAACUGCCCGGCUAGAGUGCUGGAGAGGUAAGCGGAAUUCCUAGUGUAGCGGUGAAAUGCGUAGAUAUUAGGAGGAACACCAGUGGCGAAGGCGGCUUACUGGACUGUAACUGACGUUGAGGCUCGAAAGCGUGGGGAGCAA
rnacentral:rRNA from 1 species